UUCCUAACCCAAUGUGAACCAUACCAAACUGUUGCCUCGGCGGGGUCACGCCCCGGGUGCSUYKCAGCCCCGGAACCAGGCGCCCGCCGGAGGGACCAACCAAACUCUUUUCUGUAGUCCCCUCGCGGACGUUAUUUCUUACAGCUCUGAGCAAAAAUUCAAAAUGAAUCAAAACUUUCAACAACGGAUCUCUUGGUUCUGGCAUCGAUGAAGAACGCAGCGAAAUGCGAUAAGUAAUGUGAAUUGCAGAAUUCAGUGAAUCAUCGAAUCUUUGAACGCACAUUGCGCCCGCCAGUAUUCUGGCGGGCAUGCCUGUCCGAGCGUCAUUUCAACCCUCGAACCCCUCCGGGGGGUCGGCGUUGGGGAUCGGGAACCCCUAAGACGGGAUCCCGGCCCCGAAAUACAGUGGCGGUCUCGCCGCAGCCUCUCCUGCGCAGUAGUUUGCACAACUCGCACCGGGAGCGCGGCGCGUCCACGUCCGUAAAACACCCAACUUCUGAAAUGUUGACCUCGGAUCAGGUAGGAAUACCCGCUGAACUUAAGCAUAUCAAUAAGGCGGARAAA
rnacentral:rRNA from 1 species